CUUCAAUCGAAGAGUCUCAAAUAGCACGAAACACGCGUCUUGAAU
rfam:Schistosoma rodhaini strain Burundi genome assembly, scaffold: SROB_scaffold0004933